GAAGUGAGCCAGACGAUCGCUGCUGUGGAGAUCUCCGUGAUUGAAGCAGGGGAGGAAAGUCCGGGCUUCGUAGGGCAGGGUGCCAGGUAACGCCUGGGCGGUGAAAGCCGACGGCAAGUGCAGCAGAGAGUAGACCGCCAUCUUUGCAAUUUUCCUUCGGGGAGACCAAGAGAGAUGGUAAGGGUGAAAGGGUGCGGUAAGAGCGCACCGCGUGUCUGGUAACAGUUCACGGCAAGGUAAACCCCACCAGAAGCAAGACCAAAUAGGAAUCCUUCAGGCACGGCCCGUGCUGGAUUCGGGUAGGUCGCUUGAGCGUACGAGUGAUUGUACGCCUAGAGGAAUGAUCGUUCACGACAGAACCCGGCUUAUCGGCUCACUUCACCA
rfam:Acinetobacter sp. ANC 4218 Contig10, whole genome shotgun sequence.